UGGGGAAUUUUCCGCAAUGGGCGAAAGCCUGACGGAGCGACGCCGCGUGGAGGAUGAAGGAUCUCGGUCUGUAAACUCCUGUCAGGGGGGACGAAUCAACUGACGGUACCCCCAAAGGAAGCAUCGGCUAACUACGUGCCAGCAGCCGCGGUAAGACGUAGGAUGCGAGCGUUGUUCGGAUUUAUUGGGCGUAAAGCGUACGUAGGCGGCUUGUUAAGUCUGGUGUUAAAGCUAGGGGCUCAACCCCUGUGUUGCACUGGAAACUGGCAGGCUUGAGUGUGGUAGGGGAAGGUGGAAUUCCGAGUGUAGCGGUGAAAUGCGUAGAUAUUCGGAAGAACACCGGUGGCGAAAGCGACCUUCUGGGCCAUUACUGACGCUGAGGUACGAAAGCUUGGGGAGCGAACGGG
rnacentral:rRNA from 1 species